rnacentral:rRNA from 1 species
UUAAGCGACUAAGCGUACACGGUGGAUGCCCUGGCAGUCAGAGGCGAUGAAGGAGGUGCUAAUCUGCGAUAAGCGUCGGUAAGGUGAUAUGAACCGUUAUAACCGGCGAUUUCCGAAUGGGGAAACCCAGUGUGAUUCGUCACACUAUCAUUAACUGAAUCCAUAGGUUAAUGAGGCGAACCGGGGGAACUGAAACAUCUAAGUACCCCGAGGAAAAGAAAUCAACCGAGAUUCCCCCAGUAGCGGCGAGCGAACGGGGAGCAGCCCAGAGCCUGAAUCAGUAUGUGUGUUAGUGGAAGCGUCUGGAAAGGCGCGCGAUACAGGGUGACAGCCCCGUACACAAAAAUGCACAUGCUGUGAGCUCGAUGAGUAGGGCGGGACACGUGGUAUCCUGUCUGAAUAUGGGGGGACCAUCCUCCAAGGCUAAAUACUCCUGACUGACCGAUAGUGAACCAGUACCGUGAGGGAAAGGCGAAAAGAACCCCGGCGAGGGGAGUGAAAAAGAACCUGAAACCGUGUACGUACAAGCAGUGGGAGCACAGAGCAAUCUGUGUGACUGCGUACCUUUUGUAUAAUGGGUCAGCGACUUAUAUUCUGUAGCAAGGUUAACCGAAUAGGGGAGCCGAAGGGAAACCGAGUCUUAACUGGGCGUUAAGUUGCAGGGUAUAGACCCGAAACCCGGUGAUCUAGCCAUGGGCAGGUUGAAGGUUGGGUAACACUAACUGGAGGACCGAACCGACUAAUGUUGAAAAAUUAGCGGAUGACUUGUGGCUGGGGGUGAAAGGCCAAUCAAACCGGGAGAUAGCUGGUUCUCCCCGAAAGCUAUUUAGGUAGCGCCUCGUGAAUUCAUCUCCGGGGGUAGAGCACUGUUUCGGCAAGGGGGUCAUCCCGACUUACCAACCCGAUGCAAACUGCGAAUACCGGAGAAUGUUAUCACGGGAGACACACGGCGGGUGCUAACGUCCGUCGUGAAGAGGGAAACAACCCAGACCGCCAGCUAAGGUCCCAAAGUCAUGGUUAAGUGGGAAACGAUGUGGGAAGGCCCAGACAGCCAGGAUGUUGGCUUAGAAGCAGCCAUCAUUUAAAGAAAGCGUAAUAGCUCACUGGUCGAGUCGGCCUGCGCGGAAGAUGUAACGGGGCUAAACCAUGCACCGAAGCUGCGGCAGCGACGCUUAUGCGUUGUUGGGUAGGGGAGCGUUCUGUAAGCCUGUGAAGGUGUGCUGUGAGGCAUGCUGGAGGUAUCAGAAGUGCGAAUGCUGACAUAAGUAACGAUAAAGCGGGUGAAAAGCCCGCUCGCCGGAAGACCAAGGGUUCCUGUCCAACGUUAAUCGGGGCAGGGUGAGUCGACCCCUAAGGCGAGGCCGAAAGGCGUAGUCGAUGGGAAACAGGUUAAUAUUCCUGUACUUGGUGUUACUGCGAAGGGGGGACGGAGAAGGCUAUGUUGGCCGGGCGACGGUUGUCCCGGUUUAAGCGUGUAGGCUGGUUUUCCAGGCAAAUCCGGAAAAUCAAGGCUGAGGCGUGAUGACGAGGCACUACGGUGCUGAAGCAACAAAUGCCCUGCUUCCAGGAAAAGCCUCUAAGCAUCAGGUAACAUCAAAUCGUACCCCAAACCGACACAGGUGGUCAGGUAGAGAAUACCAAGGCGCUUGAGAGAACUCGGGUGAAGGAACUAGGCAAAAUGGUGCCGUAACUUCGGGAGAAGGCACGCUGAUAUGUAGGUGAAGUCCCUCGCGGAUGGAGCUGAAAUCAGUCGAAGAUACCAGCUGGCUGCAACUGUUUAUUAAAAACACAGCACUGUGCAAACACGAAAGUGGACGUAUACGGUGUGACGCCUGCCCGGUGCCGGAAGGUUAAUUGAUGGGGUCAGCGCAAGCGAAGCUCUUGAUCGAAGCCCCGGUAAACGGCGGCCGUAACUAUAACGGUCCUAAGGUAGCGAAAUUCCUUGUCGGGUAAGUUCCGACCUGCACGAAUGGCGUAAUGAUGGCCAGGCUGUCUCCACCCGAGACUCAGUGAAAUUGAACUCGCUGUGAAGAUGCAGUGUACCCGCGGCAAGACGGAAAGACCCCGUGAACCUUUACUAUAGCUUGACACUGAACAUUGAGCCUUGAUGUGUAGGAUAGGUGGGAGGCUUGGAAGUGUGGACGCCAGUCUGCAUGGAGCCGACCUUGAAAUACCACCCUUUAAUGUUUGAUGUUCUAACGUUGACCCGUAAUCCGGGUUGCGGACAGUGUCUGGUGGGUAGUUUGACUGGGGCGGUCUCCUCCUAAAGAGUAACGGAGGAGCACGAAGGUUGGCUAAUCCUGGUCGGACAUCAGGAGGUUAGUGCAAUGGCAUAAGCCAGCUUGACUGCGAGCGUGACGGCGCGAGCAGGUGCGAAAGCAGGUCAUAGUGAUCCGGUGGUUCUGAAUGGAAGGGCCAUCGCUCAACGGAUAAAAGGUACUCCGGGGAUAACAGGCUGAUACCGCCCAAGAGUUCAUAUCGACGGCGGUGUUUGGCACCUCGAUGUCGGCUCAUCACAUCCUGGGGCUGAAGUAGGUCCCAAGGGUAUGGCUGUUCGCCAUUUAAAGUGGUACGCGAGCUGGGUUUAGAACGUCGUGAGACAGUUCGGUCCCUAUCUGCCGUGGGCGCUGGAGAACUGAGGGGGGCUGCUCCUAGUACGAGAGGACCGGAGUGGACGCAUCACUGGUGUUCGGGUUGUCAUGCCAAUGGCACUGCCCGGUAGCUAAAUGCGGAAGAGAUAAGUGCUGAAAGCAUCUAAGCACGAAACUUGCCCCGAGAUGAGUUCUCCCUGACUCCUUGAGAGUCCUGAAGGAACGUUGAAGACGACGACGUUGAUAGGCCGGGUGUGUAAGCGCAGCGAUGCGUUGAGCUAACCGGUACUAAUGAACCGUGAGGCUUAACCUU